GAUGAACGCUAGCGGCAGGCUUAACACAUGCAAGUCGAGGGGUAACAGGAAGAGCUUGCUUUUCGCUGACGACCGGCGCACGGGUGCGUAACGCGUAUAGAAUCUACCUUAUACUGAGGGAUAGCCUUUGGAAACGAAGAUUAAUACCUCAUAGUAUGUAAACUCGGCAUCGAGCUUACAUUAAAGGUUACGGUAUAAGAUGACUAUGCGUCCUAUUAGUUAGUUGGUGUGGUAACGGCACACCAAGACAGCGAUAGGUAGGGGCCCUGAGAGGGGGAUCCCCCACACUGGUACUGAGACACGGACCAG
rnacentral:rRNA from 1 species